AGGGAAUAGAUACCCGGGUAGUCCAUGCUGUAAACGAUGUCAACUAGCCGUUGGGGCCCUUGAGGCUUUAGUGGCGCAGCUAAACGCGAUAAGUUGACCGCCUGGGGAGUACGGCCGCAAGGUUAAAACUCAAAUGAAUUGACGGGGGCCCGCACAAGCGGUGGAGUAUGUGGUUUAAUUCGAUGCAACGCGAAGAACCUUACCUGGCCUUGACAUAUCCGGAACCCUGCAGAGAUGCGGGGGUGCCUUCGGGAAUCGGAAUACGGGUGCUGCAUGGCUGUCGUCAGCUCGUGUCGUGAGAUGUUGGGUUAAGUCCCGCAACGAGCGCAACCCUUAUCCUUAGUUGCCAGCGCGUAAAGGCGGGAACUCUAGGGAGACUGCCGGUGACAAACCGGAGGAAGGCGGGGACGACGUCAAGUCAUCAUGGCCCUUACGGCCAGGGCUACACACGUACUACAAUGGUCGGUACAAAGGGUUGCUAAGCCGCGAGGCCACGCCAAUCUCAAAAAGACCGAUCGUAGUCCAGAUUGGAGUCUGCAACUCGACUCCAU
rnacentral:rRNA from 1 species